rnacentral:misc_RNA from 1 species
GAUGAAGAACGUAGCGAAAUGCGAUAAGUAAUGUGAAUUGCAGAAUUCAGUGGAUCAUCGAAUCUUUGAACGCACCUUGCGCCUUUUGGUAUUCCGAAAGGCACACCUGUUUGAGCGUCAUGAAUACCUCAAUCUCCAUCUUUUCUUCGGAUUGAUGGGUGACUUGGAUGUUGAGCCCUGCUGGUAUGCUAUAUCAGCUGGCUUUAAACUUAUUAGCCGGCUCUGUACUGGAUCGGUUUGACUCGACGUGAUAAUAUUAUCGUUGAGGAUGCAUGUCUCAUGCAGCCGGAAAGUAUCAAAGCAGCUUCUAGCUUGCCUUUAGUGCACUUUUACAUUUUAGACCUCAGAUCAGGUGGGACUACCCGCUGAACUUAAGCAUAUCAAUAAGCGGAGGA